rnacentral:rRNA from 1 species
AACGAACGCUGGCGGCAUGCCUAACACAUGCAAGUCGAACGAAGCCUUCGGGCUUAGUGGCGCACGGGUGCGUCACGCGUGGGAAUCUGCCCCUUGCUUCGGAAUAACAGUUAGAAAUGACUGCUAAUACCGGAUGAAGUCUUCGGACCAAAGAUUUAUCGGCAAGGGAUGAGCCCGCGUAGGAUUAGGUAGUUGGUGGGGUAAAGGCCUACCAAGCCGACGAUCCUUAGCUGGUCUGAGAGGAUGAUCAGCCACACUGGGACUGAGACACGGCCCAGACUCCUACGGGAGGCAGCAGUGGGGAAUAUUGGACAAUGGACGCAAGUCUGAUCCAGCAAUGCCGCGUGAGUGAUGAAGGCCUUAGGGUUGUAAAGCUCUUUUACCAGGGAUGAUAAUGACAGUACCUGGAGAAUAAGCUCCGGCUAACUCCGUG